rnacentral:rRNA from 1 species
AUUGAACGCUGGCGGCAGGCCUAACACAUGCAAGUCGAGCGGAUGAAGGGAGCUUGCUCCUGGAUUCAGCGCCGGACGGGUGAGUAAUGCCUAGGAAUCUGCCUGGUAGUGGGGGAUAACGUCCGGAAACGGGCGCUAAUACCGCAUACGUCCUGAGGGAGAAAGUGGGGGAUCUUCGGACCUCACGCUAUCAGAUGAGCCUAGGUCGGAUUAGCUAGUUGGUGGGGUAAAGGCCUACCAAGGCGACGAUCCGUAACUGGUCUGAGAGGAUGAUCAGUCACACUGGAACUGAGACACGGUCCAGACUCCUACGGGAGGCAGCAGUGGGGAAUACUGGACAAUGGGCGAAAGCCUGAUCCAGCCAUGCCGCGUGUGUGAAGAAGGUCUUCGGAUUGUAAAGCACUUUAAGUUGGGAGGAAGGGCAGUAAGUUAAUACCUUGCUGUUUUGACGUUACCAACAGAAUAAGCACCGGCUAACUUCGUG